rnacentral:tRNA from 1 species
ACCCCGUUCAUAGAGGCAUAAUCCUCUCCUUUUUA